rnacentral:sRNA from 4 species
UGCAUCUGAGGCCUGUGAGGAUGAGAACCUCCGGGGGCAGGAGGUUCGACUCGAGCGAAGCGAGAGAACGUUGCGUCAGCAACGGCCCGCAGGGCGAGCCACGAAGUGGUGAGUCAUCCUCUAUCACCGACCA